CGCUGGCGGCGUGCUUAACACAUGCAAGUCGAACGAGAAUCACUGGAAGGAGUUUUCGGACAACGGAAGGUGAGGACAGUGGCGGACGGGUGAGUAACGCGUGAGGAACCUGCCUUUCAGAGGGGGACAACAGUUGGAAACGACUGCUAAUACCGCAUGACACAUAGAGAUCGCAUGGUUUUUAUGUCAAAGAUUUAUCGCUGAAAGAUGGCCUCGCGUCUGAUUAGCUAGUUGGUGAGGUAACGGCCCACCAAGGCGACGAUCAGUAGCCGGUCUGAGAGGAUGAACGGCCACAUUGGAACUGAGACACGGUCCAGACUCCUACGGGAGGCAGCAGUGGGGAAUCUUCCGCAAUGGGCGAAAGCCUGACGGAGCAACGCCGCGUGAGUGAAGAAGGUCUUCGGAUCGUAAAGCUCUGUUGUCGGGGACGAAUGUUGAGACCAAGAACAUAGGUUUCAAAUGACGGUACCUGACGAGGAAGCCACGGCUAACUACGUG
rnacentral:rRNA from 1 species